rnacentral:rRNA from 1 species
CUACGGGGGGCUGCAGUGGGGAAUAUUGCACAAUGGGCGCAAGCCUGAUGCAGCCAUGCCGCGUGUAUGAAGAAGGCCUUCGGGUUGUAAAGUACUUUCAGCGGGGAGGAAGGGAGUAAAGUUAAUACCUUUGCUCAUUGACGUUACCCGCAGAAGAAGCACCGGCUAACUCCGUGCCAGCAGCCGCGGUAAUGCGGAGGGCGCAAGCGUUAAUCGGAAUUACUGGGCGUAAAGCGCACGCAGGCGGUGUGUUAAGUCAGAUGUGAAAUCCCCGGGCUCAACCUGGGAACUGCAUCUGAUACUGGCAAGCUGGAGUCUCGUAGAGGGGGGUAGAAUUCCAGGUGUAGCGGUGAAAUGCGUAGAGAUCUGGAGGAAUACCGGUGGCGAAGGCGGCCCCCUGGACGAAGACUGACGCUCAGGUGCGAAAGCGUGGGGAGCAAACAGGAUUAGAUACCCCAGUAGUC